rnacentral:lncRNA from 1 species
GCUAUAGCAAAGCGGCAUAUAUCGCCUACAGUGGCAGAGAAAGUUCUACAACGUGCACAAGUUGGUAAAACAAGAUCUGGAGUUUUAAGGAAUGUGUUAAAAGCUGUGGACAAAGGAGAACUACCAGCUGAUUUCAUGGACGACCUGCUCAAUGAUAUAAAUCCGUCGGACAAUAAGGCUGACGUUGUGGAGAAAGUCCGCAAAGGUCUAGAGAAGAGGCAAAUAGCCCCCAUCAUCCUGGAUGACAUCGUUGUCGGUCUACAACCGCCCAAUCAGGAGCAGCAUGAGGCGAUACAAGUUAUAAGAGAUG